rnacentral:rRNA from 1 species
ACGGGGGGUGCUAGCGUUAUUCGGAAUAAUUGGGCGUAAAGGGCGCGUAGGAGGUCUUUUAAGUCAGAUGUGAAAGUCCUCGGCUUAACUGAGGAAGUGCAUUUGAUACUAAAAGACUUGAGUAUGGGAGAGUUAAGCGGAAUUCCUGGUGUAGCGGUUAAAUGCGGAGAUAUCAGGAGGAACACCGGUGGCGAAGGCGUCUUCCUGGACCAUUACUGACGCUAAGGCGCGAAAGUGUGGGGAGCAAACAG